GGGUUGUGAGGUUAAGCGACUAAGCGUACACGGUGGAUGCCCUGGCAGUCAGAGGCGAUGAAGGGCGUGCUAAUCUGCGAUAAGCGCCGGUAAGGUGAUAUGAACCGUUAUAACCGGCGAUACCCGAAUGGGGAAACCCAGUGUGAUUCGUCACACUAUCAUUAACUGAAUCCAUAGGUUAAUGAGGCGAACCGGGGGAACUGAAACAUCUAAGUACCCCGAGGAAAAGAAAUCAACCGAGAUUCCCCCAGUAGCGGCGAGCGAACGGGGAGGAGCCCAGAGCCUGAAUCAGCAUGUGUGUUAGUGGAAGCGUCUGGAAAGGCGCGCGAUACAGGGUGACAGCCCCGUACACAAAAGCGCAUGUGCUGUGAGCUCGAUGAGUAGGGCGGGACACGUGGUAUCCUGUCUGAAUAUGGGGGGACCAUCCUCCAAGGCUAAAUACUCCUGACUGACCGAUAGUGAACCAGUACCGUGAGGGAAAGGCGAAAAGAACCCCGGCGAGGGGAGUGAAAAAGAACCUGAAACCGUGUACGUACAAGCAGUGGGAGCCCCACCACCAAAGCAUUCUCUGGUGUUGAAGGCCCUGCAAAGCAGUAUCGCGGUGGCGGAGCGUCGUUUGCGACGCCCAACACACAAAACAAGCGGUGAGUGCUUUGGGGUGGGGUGACUGCGUACCUUUUGUAUAAUGGGUCAGCGACUUAUAUUCUGUAGCAAGGUUAACCGCAUAGGGGAGCCGGAGGGAAACCGAGUCUUAAUUGGGCGUUAAGUUGCAGGGUAUAGACCCGAAACCCGGUGAUCUAGCCAUGGGCAGGUUGAAGGUUGGGUAACACUAACUGGAGGACCGAACCGACUAAUGUUGAAAAAUUAGCGGAUGACUUGUGGCUGGGGGUGAAAGGCCAAUCAAACCGGGAGAUAGCUGGUUCUCCCCGAAAGCUAUUUAGGUAGCGCCUCGUGAACUCAUCUCCGGGGGUAGAGCACUGUUUCGGCUAGGGGGCCAUCCCGGCUUACCAACCCGAUGCAAACUGCGAAUACCGGAGAAUGUUAUCACGGGAGACACACGGCGGGUGCUAACGUCCGUCGUGAAGAGGGAAACAACCCAGACCGCCAGCUAAGGUCCCAAAGUCAUGGUUAAGUGGGAAACGAUGUGGGAAGGCCCAGACAGCCAGGAUGUUGGCUUAGAAGCAGCCAUCAUUUAAAGAAAGCGUAAUAGCUCACUGGUCGAGUCGGCCUGCGCGGAAGAUGUAACGGGGCUAAACCAUGCACCGAAGCUGCGGCAGCGAACGUAUCACUUAAAGCGAUUCAGCGGGUUACGAUUGACGGAGCGAAGCGACGUCAAAGCGUAUACAAAGUCGAGUCGGUUUAAGGAUACGUUCGUUGGGUAGGGGAGCGUUCUGUAAGCCUGUGAAGGUGGCCUGUGAGGGUUGCUGGAGGUAUCAGAAGUGCGAAUGCUGACAUAAGUAACGAUAAAGCGGGUGAAAAGCCCGCUCGCCGGAAGACCAAGGGUUCCUGUCCAACGUUAAUCGGGGCAGGGUGAGUCGACCCCUAAGGCGAGGCCGAAAGGCGUAGUCGAUGGGAAACGGGUUAAUAUUCCCGUACUUGGUGUUACUGCGAAGGGGGGACGGAGAAGGCUAUGUUGGCCGGGCGACGGUUGUCCCGGUUUAAGCGUGUAGGCUGGUUUUCCAGGCAAAUCCGGAAAAUCAAGGCUGAGGCGUGACGACGAGGCACUACGGUGCUGAAGCAACAAAUGCCCUGCUUCCAGGAAAAGCCUCUAAGCAUCAGGUAACAUCAAAUCGUACCCCAAACCGACACAGGUGGUCAGGUAGAGAAUACCAAGGCGCUUGAGAGAACUCGGGUGAAGGAACUAGGCAAAAUGGUGCCGUAACUUCGGGAGAAGGCACGCUGACACGUAGGUGAAGUGAUUUACUCACGGAGCUGAAGUCAGUCGAAGAUACCAGCUGGCUGCAACUGUUUAUUAAAAACACAGCACUGUGCAAACACGAAAGUGGACGUAUACGGUGUGACGCCUGCCCGGUGCCGGAAGGUUAAUUGAUGGGGUCAGCGCAAGCGAAGCUCCUGAUCGAAGCCCCGGUAAACGGCGGCCGUAACUAUAACGGUCCUAAGGUAGCGAAAUUCCUUGUCGGGUAAGUUCCGACCUGCACGAAUGGCGUAAUGAUGGCCAGGCUGUCUCCACCCGAGACUCAGUGAAAUUGAACUCGCUGUGAAGAUGCAGUGUACCCGCGGCAAGACGGAAAGACCCCGUGAACCUUUACUAUAGCUUGACACUGAACAUUGAGCCUUGAUGUGUAGGAUAGGUGGGAGGCUUUGAAGUGUGGACGCCAGUCUGCAUGGAGCCGACCUUGAAAUACCACCCUUUAAUGUUUGAUGUUCUAACGUGGACCCGUAAUCCGGGUUGCGGACAGUGUCUGGUGGGUAGUUUGACUGGGGCGGUCUCCUCCUAAAGAGUAACGGAGGAGCACGAAGGUUGGCUAAUCCUGGUCGGACAUCAGGAGGUUAGUGCAAUGGCAUAAGCCAGCUUGACUGCGAGCGUGACGGCGCGAGCAGGUGCGAAAGCAGGUCAUAGUGAUCCGGUGGUUCUGAAUGGAAGGGCCAUCGCUCAACGGAUAAAAGGUACUCCGGGGAUAACAGGCUGAUACCGCCCAAGAGUUCAUAUCGACGGCGGUGUUUGGCACCUCGAUGUCGGCUCAUCACAUCCUGGGGCUGAAGUAGGUCCCAAGGGUAUGGCUGUUCGCCAUUUAAAGUGGUACGCGAGCUGGGUUUAGAACGUCGUGAGACAGUUCGGUCCCUAUCUGCCGUGGGCGCUGGAGAACUGAGGGGGGCUGCUCCUAGUACGAGAGGACCGGAGUGGACGCAUCACUGGUGUUCGGGUUGUCAUGCCAAUGGCACUGCCCGGUAGCUAAAUGCGGAAGAGAUAAGUGCUGAAAGCAUCUAAGCACGAAACUUGCCCCGAGAUGAGUUCUCCCUGAGACUUUAGGUCUCCUGAAGGAACGUUGAAGACGACGACGUUGAUAGGCCGGGUGUGUAAGCGCAGCGAUGCGUUGAGCUAACCGGUACUAAUGAACCGUGAGGCUUAACCUUACAACGCCGAAG
rnacentral:rRNA from 1 species